rnacentral:rRNA from 1 species
GUCUACGGCCAUGCCACCCUGAACAAGCCUGAUAUCUGAUCUCGGAAGCUAAGCAGCGUCGGGGCCUGGUUAGUACUUGGAUGGGAGAUCACCUAGGAAGACCAGGAAGACCAGGUGCUGUAGGCA